rnacentral:rRNA from 1 species
UACGUAGGGUGCGAGCGUUAAUCGGAAUUACUGGGCGUAAAGCGUGCGCAGGCGGUUUUGUAAGACAGGCGUGAAAUCCCCGAGCUCAACUUGGGAAUUGCGCUUGUGACUGCAAGGCUAGAGUGUGUCAGAGGGGGGUAGAAUUCCACGUGUAGCAGUGAAAUGCGUAGAGAUGUGGAGGAAUACCGAUGGCGAAGGCAGCCCCCUGGGUCGAUACUGACGCUCAUGCACGAAAGCGUGGGGAGCAAACGGG